UAAGAAUACAGUCUUUUCAUUUUCACUGUGUAGUGAAAUAGUAUUUCUCACUGCCACCAUCAGAACAUUUUUCCACCACGUAGGAAAAGCUUUUACUGCAGUUAAUGAUGCAAUCUCCUGAUGUGGCUGGAAGGGCAAUCUGUGAAAAAUGAAUAUUGACUGUGAGGUCUCAUAUGUCUCUCUAACUGGCAUGUAAUAGAAUGCCCCCCUGCCCUGCCUUAUGUUUGUAUUUCACAGGACAGCUAGUUAAGAGGAUUCUGUCAAAUUCGUACUUUCAUCAUACUUUCUUUAGCAUGGCAGAGACUGGAGAGCUGCUUUUCUGCACUCCAGCUCCAGAUUGAGUAUAAAAGUGAUAUAUUUUUGCUUUCUUGUAGCAAAGAUGUGUGAGCAUAUUCUGCUAAGGGCCAUGCAUAGAUUUAGCCGUCCAUGGUGUCUGUCCUUCCGAAGUCCAGGCUGCAGGCUGAUCCUGUAGGUAAACCUGGUUGUGCUGUCAGUUUCACCCAAGAGAGGGUAAUUUUUUAAAAUCUGAUUUUCAUGACAGGAAAACUUCAAAACCCAUCCUGAGGUCUCCCAUUGCAUGUGAUGAGGCUGAGUGGUUAACGAAGAGAAGGGGUGAAAAUGUGACCUGUGUUAAUCAAUAAUUUGAUCCACAGAACCAUGGUCUGUGUCCUCUGAUGGAAGAGCAGUCACUCAGCUGGAAGAAUAUGGAAUGGUUGCUGCCCGUAUCCCUGGACUAUCUUGGAGUUUUUACUGGGGAGAAUGGAAGUCAGAUGUGCUUCAAAUACUUUCCUGCCCAGAGUCAGCUGGCUGCUCCGGGACAUAUUUUAAAAUAGCAGCACAGCAUUAAACUGUAAAACC